rnacentral:lncRNA from 1 species
UGAGCUUCCAAACAGCAGAUGGCGCUGUCUUAGAUCUGCUGUGCUGAAUCUGAGGCGGCUCCGGUCUGUCCUUUACAUGAUGAGGUUUAUCUCUGUGUUUAACGGCUCUGACUCUCCCCCAGGACAAGACGAGGAGGAAAUGUCAAAAAGAAAAGAACAGCCUCUGGCUCUGAGCCUCCAGAGGGCAGCACUGAGCCUCCAGAGGGCAGCACUGAGCCACAGCUCUAUGGGACAAAACGCAGAUCCACAGCCUCAGUGUCCGCUCUGUCCAUGAAGAGUGACUGGUCUAAAGGCCACGUUCCAAACUUCAGUCCUGAACCUGCUCCAGACUCACGAAGCAGAUCCACAGCCUCAGUGUCCGCUCUGUCCAUGAAGAGUGACUGGUCUAAAGGCCACGUUCCAAACUUCAGUCCUGAACCUGCUCCAGACUCACGAAGCAGAUCUACAGCCUCAGUGUCCGCUCUGUCCAUGAAGAGUGACUGGUCUAAAGGCCACGUUCCAAACUUCAGUCCUGAACCUGCUCCAGACUCACGAGAAACAGAGUCAGAGCAGGACGCCUGGCCUCAGUGUGGAGACACAGGCAACAGUCCUGAUCAGUGGGUUCAAGGCCCUGCACCAGGUGAGUCUGCUCAGUCUGAGACUCAUGAACUACAGCAGGGAAUAAGAGACCUGUUCAUCAACAUUAACAGGUG